rnacentral:rRNA from 1 species
UACGUAGGGGGGCGAGCGUUGUCCGGAUUUAUUGGGCGUAAAGAGCGUGUAGGCGGCCAGGUAGGUCUGCUGUGAAAACUCGAGGCUCAACCUCGAGACGUCGGCGGAAACCAUCUGGCUAGAGUCCGGAAGAGGAGAGUGGAAUUCCUGGUGUAGCGGUGAAAUGCGCAGAUAUCAGGAAGAACACCCGUGGCGAAGGCGCCGCUCUGGGCCGUGACUGACGCUGAGGAGCGAAAGCGUGGGUAGCAAACAGG